UUCGGUCCUCGGUAGUGGCCACCGGGUGCGCAAUCCCCGAUGGCUUCGAUCGAAGACCGGC
rfam:Acidipropionibacterium acidipropionici ATCC 4875 chromosome, complete genome.